UUUUGAUGGACCAGAAGGACAUCGGUUCUUGGUCUACAAUGCAAAGGCUGUUAGGGAGGAUGAAUACUACUUGGCAGGAAAGAUGAUUGCUGUGUCAGUUGUGCAUGGAGGUCCAGGACCCCAGUUCCUGUCAGAAGAUCUUGUACAUUAUCUUGCAGGCCAGCCUUCAUUCAAAGCAACAAAUAAUUUAAUAACUGAUGAAGAAAUAGGGAAAGCUUUGCAAGAGGUGAGAAUAGCAUAAGGGUAUGGUAGGGCAGAGUUUUUCAUACUUACUGCAGUGUUUUUGAGACAAUGUUUACUUCCUAUAUCACGUGCGGAAUAUAUUUAAUUAAUUUAUUAGUUUUUGAUAGUGUAAGAUUACACCUUGCUAUGUACGUUAUUAAAAAAAUAGGCAAGGAGAUACAGUGCAUACAGUUAUUGACUGGGGUGUUUUUGCCCAUUUUCAUGUCUUUCAGAUUGAGAAUGCUGCUUCAUUGGAUGCUCUGCAAGAAUGUAUGAUGAGACACAGCACAAUGUUACAGACAGCAGGUUGUCUGAGACAUGUGGCUACUGUGGAAGAAAAGAAAGAAAUCGUGUCAGACUACCUCCAAUGGUAUACCAUUGACCGCAACUCAUCUGUAAUUGACAGAUUCAGAGAUGGUCUUUCAACCCUGGAGUUUUUGACUGCACUACAGCAACACCC